rnacentral:lncRNA from 1 species
CGCGCGCAGGCUCGGGCCCGGCUCGGAGACCCCGGGCGGACCGACGGUCUCUGGCCUGCGCGCAGACCCGUGCGCGCCGCGGACAGCGGCUAGGGUCACUGGCUCGGUACUGCAGGGGCCAGCGUGUGCCCCGGAGCUCUAGACGAGGUCCUGGGACAGAGCUUGGGGUCGGCGGCGGCGGGCUUCCCUCAGGGCAGGCUGCUGACAACAGGCAGAGCAGAGACGGCCCAAGCAUCGGUGACUUCACAAUGGGGUGGGUUUCAUUCUUUCCCGGAGGAAAGUCCAGGGUGGCCCUCUCAGACUCAAGGACUGUGGGGUCCAGAGCUGGAAGCCUAGGAAUUCUGUGUUCCUCCUUCCUCAGAAAAGGACACCCUUGUAGCGGCUUGAAUCUCGGGAAUGCCGUGCCCAUGUUAUGGCAAUAUGGCAGAAGAACAAUCCCUCCUGUCUAGCAGAGUCCUUUAUAAUUUUCUUCCCUAUUACAGUUCCUAGCCCCAACCUGGGCUGUGGGGUAAGAGAACAGGUUCCUACAAGCUGAGUAUGUGCCGGGCAGUCCGAAAGAGCCGCCCAGAGCCUCUCUCACCUCCCUCUUGCUCCGGCCACACCGAGGAAGAACCCAUUGCCAUCACACAUACACACACCCCGGUCCCCCUAUCUCUACCGUGUGGUUCAACUGCUUUAAAAACCACGUUAGACAUUCUGUGGUUGAGCAACUUUGGGGACUCCAGGACAAGAAAAUGCUUUUAGAGACUGGCUGAAUGCAGACAUCUAAACACAGUAUGUCUCGGGAUGUUUUAAUACCAAACCUUGUUUUUCCAAAAUAAUGAGCAAGCUCGGUUAAUGAUCGAACAGGGAUUUUGAAAAUAAAUAUAUGGUUACUAUUUUCA